rnacentral:rRNA from 1 species
GACGAACGCUGGCGGCGUGCCUAAUGCAUGCAAGUCGCACGCGGCCUUCUCGGGUGCUGAGUGGCGAAUGGCUGAGGAACACGUGGGGACCUGUACGGGCGUGGGGGCCAACACAGCCAAAGCGGAGUUCCUCCUGCAUACGCCCUGAGGAGGAUAGCUGAACGGUGCUCCCGCGUGGCUCUGCGGCCCUUCUGGUUGUUGGAGGGGUCACGGCCUACCAAGCCCAUGACCGGUCGCUGGUCUGUGAGGACGGACAGCCAGACUGGGACUGGGCCACGGCCCAGACUCCUACGGGGAGGAAGAGCAAGGGAUUUUCGGCAAUGGGCGCAAGCCUGGCCGAGCAACGCCGCGUGCAGUAAGGCAGCCUUCGGGUUGGAAACUGCUUUUGCUAGGGAUGGUAACUGACGGUACCUGGCGAAUCAGCCCCGGCUAACUCUGUG